rnacentral:rRNA from 1 species
CACGAACGCUGGCGGCAGGCCUAACACAUGCAAGUCGAGGGAAGCCUUCGGGCUUAGCGGCGGACGGGUGAGUAACGCGUGGGAACGUGCCCUUUGGUACGGGAUAGCCCCGGGAAACUGGGAGUAAUACCGUAUGUGGUCGAGAGACGAAAGAUUUAUCGCCAAAGGAUCGGCCCGCGUUGGAUUAGGUAGUUGGUGGGGUAAUGGCCUACCAAGCCGACGAUCCAUAGCUGGUUUGAGAGGAUGAUCAGCCACACUGGGACUGAGACACGGCCCAGACUCCUACGGGAGGCAGCAGUGGGGAAUCUUAGACAAUGGGGGAAACCCUGAUCUAGCCAUGCCGCGUGAUCGAUGAAGGCCUUAGGGUUGUAAAGAUCUUUCAGUGGGGAAGAUAAUGACUGUACCCACAGAAGAAGCCCCGGCUAACUCCGCGCCAGCAGCCGCAGUAAAAC